rnacentral:rRNA from 1 species
AGUAAUGUAUGGGGAUCUGCCCGAUAGAGGGGGAUAACUACCGGAAACGGUGGCUAAUACCGCAUAAUGUCUACGGACCAAAGCAGGGGCUCUUCGGACCUUGCACUAUCGGAUGAACCCAUAUGGGAUUAGCUAGUAGGUGGGGUAAAGGCUCACCUAGGCGACGAUCUCUAGCUGGUCUGAGAGGAUGAUCAGCCACACUGGGACUGAGACACGGCCCAG